rnacentral:snRNA from 1 species
GUGCUUGCUUCAGGCAGCACAUAUACUAAAACUGGAACAACAUAAAGAAGAUUGAAAUGGUCCCUGUGUAAGGAUGACACACAAAUUCAUGAAGCAUUCUUAUUUUUA